AAUUCUGUAGCUCAAUGGAGAGAGCACCAGUUUUCUAAACUGAUGGUUGAAGGUUCGAAUCCUUCCAGAAUUA
rnacentral:tRNA from 1 species